AUGACAAGAAGAUAUUGGAACAUUAAUUUGAAAGAGAUGAUAGAAGUAGGAGUUCAUUUUGGUCAUGGUAUUAAGAAAUGGAAUCCUAAAAUGGCCCCUUACAUUUCGGCAAAGCAUAAAGGUACUCAUAUUAUAAAUCUGGCUAGAACGGGAAAAAGUUUCUUAAUUGUUGGUACCAAAAAAAGAGCAACAGAUUUAGUAGCAUCAGCUGCAAUAAGGGCUCAUUGUCAUUAUGUUAAUAAAAAGUGGUUCAGUGAUGUGGCAAUCUUGAAGAGAAAAUUAUCUACCUUGCAAAGGUAUCUCGGCGGGAUCAAAUAUAUGACGAGAUUGCCAGACUUUGUGAUCGUGCUUGAUCAGCAAAAAGAGUAUAUAGCUCUUAGGGAAUGUGCCAUUUUAGGGAUUCCUACUAUUUCUUUAGUCGAUACAAAUAGUGACCCGGAUCUCGCGAAUAUAUCGAUUCCAGCCAAUGAUGACACUAUGAUUUCAAUUCGAUUGAUUCUUACCAAAUUAGUAUUUUCAAUCUGUGAGGGUCGUUCUCUCUAG
rnacentral:rRNA from 1 species